UGGGAAUCUGCCCUUGGGUUCGGGAUAACAGUUGGAAACGACUGCUAAUACCGGAUGAUGACUUCGGUCCAAAGAUUUAUCGCCCAAGGAUGAGCUCGCGGCCUAUCAGCUAGUUGGUGUGGGUAAUGGCCCACCAAGGCGACGACGGGUAGCCGGCCUGAGAGGGUGACCGGCCACACUGGGACUGAGACACGGCCCAGACUCCUACGGGAGGCAG
rnacentral:rRNA from 1 species